GUCCUGUGCUAUUUUGGGAUUCUGCAGCGUCCCAAAAGCAAGAAGACCCUCACCAGGUGUGGUCCCUCAGCCUUGGAUCCUCACCUCCAUAACUGCAGCUUCAAAGAUCACCAACUGUAAGAAACAGGAAGAGACUUUGAAGUAGAUAACUUCUUGUGUUUUUUUCACAUAUUCCCUGGUGGAAUUUUAGUUUUGUAUCAUGCUUUUCCAAGUUUUUCUCCAGAUGUUGUAUAGUUUUUUGUUUUUGUUUUUUUUUUUUUUUUUCCCGGAAAAGUUUAGACAUCUUGUACACAGACAUCAAGAUCUAAAAACGGAGGCGCCAGCUCUAUUUUACAAAAAUAUCUGAUAGUAUCUUAUUGAAGAAUGUUGGAAUCAUUCAAGCGACUGCUUCUAUCCAGUUUCCACGCUGUCUGAAGAUCCUCCUUGAAAUCCCAUGUAACCUUUAGUAUAAUGCCCACG
rnacentral:lncRNA from 10 species